UGACUACAGGUGGUGAUGGUGUCAUCAUGCUGCAGCUUGAGUCACUGCAAUUCAAGAAAUUUUAUGAGACUACCAACGCAUUUUAUCAUCAUCAAUUCGAAAGUGUGUAUUCUGCAGGUAAUAGCUUUGCCUUUAUAACGUAUAAUGAAGUUGUCCUGUAGUGUUCUGUCCGGAUGCUUUUGUGUCGGUAUUUUAUAUAAUGGUUGUGAGUUAUAAACUGGAAAAAUAUUUGUUAGUGGUGCCUAGUUUAGGGAGGGAGGUGGUGUUGUUUUGAAUAUUCCGACAUCGUUAAUUUUUAUUAUCAUUAGACUGUGUGGUACAUUAAAACUAACAGGAAGCGACUAACACACCAAAUACAUAGCUCAAUAUGUACAUUUGGAAGCUUACUUGUGUAAUUCAAUAUUGUUAUCUCUGCUGAUCUUGCUAAAAAUCCUAUAGAAAUAAAAAGCACAUUAAUGUGUAAUACAUGAUGUUUGGUUGUGCCAUAGGAAAAAAUCCAGGAACAUUUUUCAAGGGCUAGGUGGGUGCCAUAUUUUUCAUCCGAAGUCUGAAACGGAAAAAGUUUCCAAGAGGUUGGACUUGAUGGAUAUUUUCCUUUGGAAUUGCAUGUGAAGUAGACCAUAGGAAAAGGGCCUAUGUAUUCUAACUUGCCAUUCCUACGAGCUUUGCAUGAUUUAUUUUUGAGUAGAAUGCUUCAAGGUUCCUCUGAACCGAAGAGGAUCUUAGUUGUUUUUUCUGAAAUUAAACAUGUGAGUUUAACUAAAUAUCUUCAGUGAUGCCUUCUCGUAUCUAUGUGGCUUCCCAUAGGAAUGUCAUUGGUUGUUUGAGUGUUUGACUUCUUAUAUUAUGCUUGUAGGGACGAGCAUUGGUGGUGGACAUGAUGGAGCUGAACUUUUGUCCAGUACAUAAGAUGAUUGUCUGGGUAGAUAUGCUAUUAUGAUUUUUGGUUGAGCAGGUAAGAAUAUCUUCUGCAUGCAAGUUGAAGUAUCUAAAAUGUUCUUUCAAAAUAAAAAAAUAUUGCGUUCCUUUUUACUACCAGUUCUUGGUUACCAAAUAGAUUGCUUUUGUUAGUGUGGGCUCUUCUCCAUCUAGCAUCUUAGCUGACAUUGCCACCGGCUAGCCAGGACGUGAGAUUGAUAUUGCCAGAGAUAAAUAGGGACUGGGGUAGGGACAAAGCUAAGAUCGAAAAAGGGGAUUUUUCACUCAUUCAUUUCUUGCCGGUUCUACCGUUAUAGCUUGCCAUCGUUAUGCGCUUACAUCAUUAUUCUUGCCAUCCUUGUAGGCCAGACACACAUGACGCUUACAGUUGGGUCCCGCUUAACUUAACACACGCUUCGCCAUCGCCAUCAUUAUCCGCGUACCUAACUCGGUGGCGCCCUUGCUCUCUACGUCUUCUCCUCUGUUCUGGCUGUGUCACCACCUUCAGUUGUUCAUUUCCUCAGUAGUGCUGCUUCAGUACAUUGAGAUCGUCCAGGUCGCCAGUUCUUGAGGAAUACCAGCCCAGUUGAUAAACCCUUGCAGUAUUAGCGGAACUCCCUUUCUUGACGAGUCGCCGAUCAAGAAUUGCUUCAGGUCUGGAUUCUCCACAUGUACUCAAUGAUUUUGGGAUAUGGAACACGGGAUGGACGGCACUUCCAGGCGGCAGUUCCAAGAGAUAUACCACUGAACCAAUCAGCUCCAGCACAGGGUAUGGUCCAAAGUAUUUGAAUUCCAGUUUCAGACAAGGCGUGUUCACCGCUGAACAUUAAGCAUUAGGCUGCAGUUUGUGCAAUACCUUCCCACCCACUUUAAUGGUUUCCUCUGAUCGAUGCUUGUCAGCUUGCAUUUUUGUUUUGUUCUGUGCAUUGGCCAGAUGCCCCUUUCGUCAGUCCAGUUGCACUUGACAUUCCGCCACAAUUUUGUCAGCUUCAGUUGAUGUUGCCAGCUGCACUUAACGUUCUGCCACAAUUUUUACCUUUAUUAAGUACUCCCUUCAUAAAGAAAUAUAAGAGUGUUUAGAUCACUACUUUAGUGAUCUAAACGUUCUUAUAUUUCUUUACGGAGGGAGUAACAAAUUAUGAUUGAGUUGUCAAAGUGUUGUUUUUUAGGCUUUUUCUGGAGCUAGUGAUUAGCCUGCUGAAGUUUUUCUUCUCUGCCCCCUGCCCUUCUGUCUCUCUCGCCAUGCAUAUGCUCUCUCUCUUGUAAAUUAUCUAUUUUAAUAAAAUGUAUUUACUGGCAGGGCCUCGCCUACAGUUUCCCCUAAAAAUUUGUUGUUUUUUUAUGCCACGCAGUCUAGAAAGAUGGCAUGUAUUUUGUACCGAAGGAAGUUGUAAAAUUAUAUUUCAAAUGAUUUGGUAAGCUAGAUGGUUCCACAUUUGCCUCUUUAGGAGUUAUUUGAACCAUUGGUCUCUUGGCCUCUACUGAGAGAAGAUGGCGAAAAUGAUCGGGAAUGUGCUGACAGUAGAAGUUGAAAGUGUUUUUGGUAGAAUUUCUCUGUAUAUUUCUGUUCCUUUCCAAAGGUGCUGAGAUGAUUCAACUUUAGUGUUUUUGGUAGAAUUUCCUUUAUGGUGAAGCUAAUUUUUACUGUUUGAAUCAUAAAAAGUGUUGAGGUUGCAUAACCUGCACUCUUUUCCAUGGAUUAGUAGUACAAAAUGGUUUGCCUAAUGACAUUGGUUGCUCCACAGGUACCUAGAGUUGUAUUCUGGCUACUGAGAUGCAGGAAUUUUCUUCUUUGCUGUGGGUCCGUCCAUUUUGUACGCUUCAGACGGAGAUAUCGACCCCCUAUGUUGCAUGCAUGGUCAACUGGGAAGUGGAAUUGUAGGAUUAAUCGUUCAUUGCUAACUACCUCUGUUAUGUAAAUUCUAGGCGCAAUUAGCCAACUGGCUUGUUGAAGAUACACACUUGCUUCGGUUAAUUAGCGUUUGGGGUACAUCUGCUUUAUGGUCUCCAAGCAAGCUUGCCUGCCUGAUGAUCUUGGCUAAUGUCAUGUGUGUGUUCACCGUCUCUCUGUUUCCGUUUGAUUAUGUUCCAUGUUGUAAUAGGUCUGGAUAUUUGAUUUGACGUAAUAUUCUUGCUUAUGUCCAUUGUGUGCG
rnacentral:lncRNA from 1 species